UACGUAGGGUGCGAGCGUUGUCCGGAAUUAUUGGGCGUAAAGAGCUCGUAGGCGGCUUGUCGCGUCGGAUGUGAAAGCCCGGGGCUUAACUCCGGGUCUGCAUUUGAUACGGGCAGGCUAGAGUUCGGUAGGGGAGAUCGGAAUUCCUGGUGUAGCGGUGAAAUGCGCAGAUAUCAGGAGGAACACCGGUGGCGAAGGCGGAUCUCUGGGCCGAUACUGACGCUGAGGAGCGAAAGCGUGGGGAGCGAACAGG
rnacentral:rRNA from 1 species